rnacentral:rRNA from 1 species
UACAGAGGUCUCGAGCGUUGUUCGGAUUCAUUGGGCGUAAAGCGCGCGUAGGCGGCUACUUAAGUCGGAUGUGAAAGCCCUUGGCUCAACUGAGGAAGUGCACCCGAAACUGAGUGGCUAGAGUACGAAAGAGGGUCGCGGAAUUCCCGGUGUAGAGGUGAAAUUCGUAGAUAUCGGGAGGAACACCGGUGGCGAAGGCGGCGACCUGGGUCGAUACUGACGCUGAUGCGCGAAAGCGUGGGGAGCAAACAGG